rnacentral:rRNA from 1 species
GGGCAGUUUGACUGGGGCGGUCGCCUCCUAAAAAGUAACGGAGGCGCCCAAAGGUUCCCUCAGAAUGGUUGGAAAUCAUUCGCAGAGUGUAAAGGCACAAGGGAGCUUGACUGCGAGACAGACAGGUCGAGCAGGGACGAAAGUCGGGCUUAGUGAUCCGGUGGUACCGUAUGGAAGGGCCAUCGCUCAACGGAUAAAAGCUACCCUGGGGAUAACAGGCUUAUCUCCCCCAAGAGUCCACAUCGACGGGGAGGUUUGGCACCUCGAUGUCGGCUCAUCGCAUCCUGGGGCUGUAGUCGGUCCCAAGGGUUGGGCUGUUCGCCCAUUAAAGCGGUACGCGAGCUGGGUUCAGAACGUCGUGAGACAGUUCGGUCCCUAUCCGUCGCGGGCGUAGGAAAUUUGAGAGGACCUGUCCUUAGUACGAGAGGACCGGGAUGGACAUACCUCUGGUGUACCAGUUGUGCCGCCAGGCGCAUCGCUGGGUAGCUACGUAUGGAUGUGAUAAACGCUGAAAGCAUCUAAGUGUGAAACACACCUCGAGAUGAGAUUUCCCAUUCCUUUAUGGAAGUAAGACCCCUGAAAGAUGAUCAGGUAGAUAGGUUAGAAGUGGCAGUGCGGUGACGCAUGAAGCGGACUAAUACUAAUCGGUCGAGGACUUAACCAAG